rnacentral:lncRNA from 1 species
AGCAUUAAAAAAAAAAGCCAAAGCACAACAGAUAUAAGAAAUUUCCUGCAACCCAGACACAAUAACCCAAACCAGUUACUGUGUAGGAAUGCCUGUUUGGAUACAGUACUUAAAUACUUCUUGAUGCACUGGUUACAAACUUUAAAAAAUUAGUUAUUUCAAAACUUCGUAUCAAUCUUAAAUACAAGGUGUAAAGAGGAUUCACUUUCUAUUGAAUGUGAUGCUGCAACUUUAACUGAGCCCAACAUUUAACUUAUCACUUGUGAGACAGAAAAUAAACGAGCAAAAAAGAGCAUCAGGUUGCACCGUGUCCAAACAAAUGGCUUUUAAUAAACAAGAUUAAUUGCUCCUCACUUUUAUUUACUAUGGACUUCUCUGACUCAGACAUAAUAAAAGCGUGCACCUAAAGUUCAGAUUAACUUAAAUAUAUACCUAGCUAAUUGAACACCGAUUGACUAUAUACUCUGCUGUAAAUCAGUAGGAGGGGGGGGGGGGAAUCAGUAUCUUCCCAAUAUCUCUGGAAUGCAAUUAGAUCAGAGUGCGGUCAGGUUUUACACUGGUUAGCGCAGAUUUACGACGUGUGCUAACAGUAAAGACACAGACAUGUUAAUACUCGGACAUGUUAAUUUCUAUAAGAAAACCAUCCCCCUGUUUGAAACGGAUGAUGUUGAAGUUUGCUUUAAAAAUAUGUUUAGGCAUACACACCGCAGGAAAAGAGGGAAAAACAAACCUUUGGAAGGAAAAGUCAGAGCAGACAGGUUAAGCCGCUUUGAAAAAGGUGCAGGAAUUCCUGUAGAUCUUGCUUGCUAA